AAAUGGUUUCCAUGAAUAUCUCCCAAAUAUACGCACACAUUUAUUGCUAUUCUGCUUCGUAUUCAAAUUUCAAUUUGAGAAAAUGGCAACGCUAUUUAUUUCAUAUUUAAAAUCCCGUAUUCUAAAUUCAAUUUAGAAAUUUGUUUGAGUUCAUAUUUGGAUUGAACAGCUAAUUAGAAUCAUCUGAUGGAAUUGGACGUAUUGUUAAUGCAUCUUUUUCAUAUCAAAUGAGAGGUAAUUCUUCAUCUGUAACAUCUUUUAUUCGGUAAUUACUUUCUCUAAUUUUUGCUACUAUUAACCAUUUUCGUGUUUGACUUUUGACAAAGAAUGUGCGGUUUGAUUUUGUGGAUUUGGCAUAGCUUCUGUUGUUUGAUUCCCGAUCGAGAGAGAUAGAGUUGGAGAGAGCACACACGAUUGAUGGAGAUAUAAAUGUUAAUUAUAUGAGAAUAAUCUAGGGUUUUUGGUUUUCUGCUUCAGAUUGAUGGAGAUGGAGGGGGAAUGUGCUGCAGGAGAAGAGGUUCAACAAGGUACAAACAAUAUUCAUUUGAUAUGUAUUUCUUUUUAUUAAUAAUUUUUCCAUUACAUUGGGAUUGAUAUUAUAUUACCUCACGUAUAUGAAUUUAGUGUGUUCCAUUUCCUACUGGUUUUGUUUUUAUUUUGGCACAUUCUGGUGCUCAAUCGCUUAAUGUUGCAGGAAAAAAUAUUGGCAUUUUGAUUUUAAGGCCAGACCACUACUUUUCCAAUUGAAAACUGAUCUGUAAUGGAACCCGUUGCAUAUAAUUGUAAGUAUUGAAACUACACCUUUUCUUGAUGAUGUGAAGUUGAAUGUAGGGUUAUUAGGUCUUCAUAACUAGAUUAUGCAUCUACUUACAGUAUGCAACAACCAAAAUGAAAGUACAUACCUUUUGAGUUCCAUAGUUUGGAGUUGUGAUAAUUUAAUCCAAAACAUAAAGGCAAAGCUUUUUAGGUGUCAUUUUCUUGAGUAAUUUAAAUUCUAAACAAGACUUUGAAGUCUAAAGUUGAUUUCAACCACUUGUAUCCAAAAAGAAGUUUAUAUUCACAAUCGUUAAAAAUCUUGAUUAUUUUAGGCCUCUUGGCCAUGGAUGUAUUCUAAAAAGGGCAGAGUAUAUUGCGGUAUUGCUAUAAUGCUAAUUCCUUUAAUUUGCCCUAUUUUUAUGUUAAAUGAUGCAUUUAAUUGUUGAAGGGUUUUUUUUUUUAAUAUGGGAUUAUGGGAUUUAAGGAAAAAUUAUUCUAUUUUUUCAGGUGCUUUUAUUCCAGAAAGCAGCUCAUGAUUCACAUUUUAAGACCAACUCGUGGUGACUGAUGUUUCUAAUGCUGGAAAUUGCUCUCAAGCUUGGCUGUUUUUUUAUUUGGCUUUUGAUUUCAUCUACCAAGCUUGAAUGCAUGAAGUGCUGAAGUGCUCUGUAUCCUCUUCUGAUUGUUUGCUAUUGUCAUGUGUCCUGUGGAAGUCUAAAGUCCAUUGCUCUCUAAAUGGUUUGCCUUUGGUCCUUGCUGGUGGUUGCUCUCAAGAUUGGUUUGAUAAAGUUUGGAGUUUGAUCUCAUCCAUCUCGAUUGAAUGAUGUGAAUACUCUAUUGAUCUUUUUUUUUUUUCUAUUGUUAUGUUCCUUUUCAAAAGCCCAAAGUUUCACAUUUUAAUUGGGUUGAUCUUAAUUUUCCUGGUGGUGUUUUUGUUGAUACUAUACUACGC
rnacentral:lncRNA from 1 species